ACUCAGAAAUACUGUGGAUUGUAUGUUUAUGCAAGUGCACCUUUGAAGUCUGUGAGAAUAAUUUGCAGCCUGAUCUUACUGGUCAUUUCUGCACAGACACCAUUAAGCGCACACUCAAUUUAGAGAAGGCUGUUGCUGCUGUUUUGUGGUCUUCUGAAAGUGAAAAAGAGUUGCACUAGCAGUCGAGAUUUUUCUGACAGCGAAGAAGGGGAGGAAUUUUUGCCAGGCACUGAGGAGCUUUGCAGCUCAUCUAAACAGGAGGAGGAAGAGAUAAGACUGGGGCAUGACACUCAGUGGAGAUCGAAAAAUGGGGAUAUCAUGUGCUGUCCCACACAUGAAGAGGAUUAGCAGCCCUGUGAGCGCUUUUUAUCUUUUUUUUUGCGGAGGACAUUAUGCAGCUAAUCCUGCAUUUUACCAACCUGCAGGGGAAGAGGUCAGUAAAAGAUUGGAAGGACGUAGGUGAGGAGGAGCUGCGGGCUUACAUGGGGCUGCUGAUCCUGUACAGGUCUCAACAUUAAGCUACAAAGAGCCUGUGAUGGGGUGACAGGACGUGUUGUUUUUCCUGCCACAAUGUCACAAAAAAGAUUCCUGCAAAUUAAUCUGGCCCUAAGAUUUGUCUUUCCCAUCCAGGUCGCCACAGGGGGAACAAGCUGGCUCCUAUAAAAGAUAUAUGGAGCAAGUGGAGUACCAGCCUGUCCAAACUUUUCAAUCCAGGAAGGGAUAUAUGUGUGUAUGAACAGCCGCUCUUCAUUCAAACAAUAUAUGCCCUUCAAACCUGCAAAAAAUGGGCUAAAGAUCUGGGCCCUGUUUGAUGUGCAGACCUAUGCUUGGAGGCUUCAGGCGUACACAGAGAAGUCUGCAUCAUCAAACAGGCAGGUUAAUCAAGACAUGCAGGUGGUGCUUGAGUUGACAGGCUGCAGGGCCACAAGGUAACAAUGGACAUUUUUUUACGUUAUUUCCUUUUGCAGAGGAAUUGAGGAAGAGGAGGGUGGCCCUGGUGGGCACUCUGAGGUUGAACAAACCUGCCCCCACAGCUGCUCAAGAUUCAACACAAAGAGGCAAGUGAGCCACAAGUACAGGACUCUGGCGAGAAAAAGCCCCAGAACUUCCUGGACUAUAACAAGUGCAUAGGGGCUGUGGAUCAUCUGGACCAGGCACUACUGUUCAUAGAGCAGGUUGGCGGAACCCUUAUCACCCCGACCAUGGUGAAGAGAAGCCACCUGCCUAGAACACCGUUUGCAGCCAGCCUGGUCUUACAGGCCCAGGGCAAAGAGCAACAGCAGGAGGAGGAGGAGCGUUCCAAAAAGCUGAAGCAAGGCACAUCGUGCAAACAGCGCAGAAGGAUCCUAACCAACUGCUGCAAAUGUGGUGCCCCUCUCUGAAAAUCCAU